rnacentral:lncRNA from 1 species
AAAAUUAUGUGUUCUGGGAAGAGAUUCAUCUAGCGCUCUGGCUGCUUAGGCAGUCUGCUGCCAGACCUAAGAAGUCAGUAACGACCUGGUCUCUAACCACACUGCAUUGCUGAAGUUUCUCAGGAGGCUGAAGUAUGACCCAAAACUUCAGUGUUUCAUGAAAUCUAGCAGAGAUACUGCAUGGUCUCAAACAGCUGUGGAGCCUAUCUGCAUGAAAACGGACAGUUGGCACGAUGUUCCUACCAUGCAAAAAUCUGCCAUUUUGUUUCAGGAGCACGUUCCUACUGUGACCACAGUAAAAUCGGAUUCUAAGCACUACAGCUUCAGAAACAAUGGACUCCAUGCUGAGCUUGGGAAAGAAGGAAGUCUGUUAGUGGUAUGGUGACAGGAGGCUUUCAUGGGUCUGCUCCCACGGAAGCAUCAUCCUGUCAAGAGCCUUCUGAAAAGCAGCACAGCACUCUGGGCUAUAAGCCGCUCAUCCCAGUUUUGUAUCAUCAAUAAACCUGCUGAGGAGGCCCUCUGUCCCUUCAUUCAAGUCACUGAUGAGUAAGUUAAGCACCACUGGAACCAGAGUUGACUCUUGGGGAACAACGCCAGCUACAGGCCUCCAGCUAGACCCUGUGCUACUGAUCAGCACUCUGAGACCUACUAUUCACCCAGUCUUUAAUCCACCUCACUAUCCACUCAUCCACCCCACAAUUCCCAUGCUUGUCUAUGUGGAUAUCAUAGGAGACAGCAUCAAAAGCCUUGCUGAAGUCCAGGUAGACAACAUCCACUGCUCUCCCCUUAUCUCAACAGCCAUCUGUCCCAUCAUAGAAGGCAAUCACAUUGGUCAAGAAUGAUUUCCCUUGGGUGAACCCAUACUGACUACUCCUGAUCACCUUCUGGUCUUUCACAAGCAAUUAUCUCCUUCAAUUUCAGGCAAAAAAGCUCAACUCUCAGCAUCUCUUUGUCAAAGUAGGCCCAGGUUUGGGUUGCCAUUAGCUUUGUUAUCCUUUGUAUGUAAGUACUACUAAGAAUUGCUUAUGUCAAACUGAAUUCAAACAAUGCAGCGAAGCUGAUGCUUAGACCUUUGUAGCCAGGUUUUGAAAUAAAAUAAGGCCUAUAUAAAAUGUACCUUCUGUACAGGGAGAGCAUAUCUUCCUGACUCUCAAACCUGUGAGAUGUUAUGAUUAUGUGAGAGAGACCCAUUUAUUCCCAGGCUGCUGGCUGAGCUCGGUCCUCAUUCUCUCAGCCUCAAUCAGGUCCUGUUUGUUAUUAAAUAUGCACAGGAAGGCAUGCAUGAGGGAUAAAGCCACAGAAAACCAGGUUCUAUUAGUUCCAGUGUCACUAAACUACCUGUGAUUUGACGCAUACCCAAUGGACUGAAUAAGCAAACCUUCCCAGAGUUUAGUUAAACCUUGCCUGUUCCAUGUUAACUACAGUUAUGUGGCACUUUCACACAUCACAAGUGGAAAGUUCAGAACAGGUAAGCCAUAGGAGUGUCAUGUUCUCCUCUAGAUUUGUUCUGCUGAGGUUUUUUCCCUCUUUUCUCUGGAGUUUAAUUCAGUCACAUCAAUUAUCCAGACUGCCUUGCAAUUUCUCCUGGCACAUCAUAGAAGUCAUUGCCAUGCUGUGUGCGCCUUUUUGAUCGCCGUGCUGUUGAGAACAACUUGAAAGAUAGAUUAUAGAGGACCUAAACAUUUCUUUAUGCUUACCACUCCAAGUGGCAUUAAUAAAUAACUAUAAAAUAGUAAUAU